CUACGGGAGGCAGCAGUGGGGAAUAUUGGACAAUGGGGGAAACCCUGAUCCAGCAAUGCCGCGUGUGUGAAGAAGGCCUGCGGGUUGUAAAGCACUUUCGGUUGGGAGGACUGCUUCUAGCACUAAUAUUGUUGGAAGUUGACGUUACCUUCAGAAGAAGCACCGGCUAACUCCGUGCCAGCAGCCGCGGUAAUACGGAGGUGCAGGCGUUAAUCGGAAUUACUGGGCGUAAAGCGCGCGUAGGGGGCUAGUUCAGUCGGGUGUGAAAGCCCCGGGCUUAACCUGGGAACUGCAUCCGAUACUGGAUAGAUUGAGUACAGGAGAGGAGAGUGGAAUUCCACAUGUAGCGGUGAAAUGCGUAGAUAUGUGGAGGAACACCAAUGGCGAAGGCAGCUCUCUGGCCUGAUACUGACGCUGAGGUGCGAAAGCGUGGGGAGCAAACAGGAUUAGAUACCCCAGUAGUC
rnacentral:rRNA from 1 species